UUAUUCGUACGGAUAAAUCUUAGAUGAAAUAUUUAAUUCUAUUAUUUAUGUGAGUGUAAUAAUAAUUUUGUAAGGUUGAACCGCAUCUUAUUUCUUUAAUGGUAAAAAAUCAAAGGAGUGAAUUAAGAGUAUUAUUAAAUCAGGCAUCGCCAGAGACGAUGGCAAGCGGCCACAUGAGAUGUUGUUGAUCCCAUAGAAGAUGGGACGAGCUCUGACAUCUGCUCAAGCUAUUAGUGACACGUUAGCCCCGUCUCACCUCCCUCGGACAAGCAAAAAAGCAGGCGAAAACCGGUGACCCUUUCUGCUGGGUCUGCUGCUUUCCUCGAUCAACGAAUAAUUAUCGCAAUACAGCGAGGAAAUGCUGCAAGCGUUAAAGAUACCGGCAAACUUCUUGGGCAUUAAACAAGGGAGUGGGGCAGCAGACACAAACGUCAACUGAUUUACCAAUCACGCGAUCGAUACAUCACGUCAUGCCAGUGAUACCCAAAAAUCGCUUCUGCGCAGGCAAGGACAUUUGUUCAAGAUGUUUGUCGGUAUCUGUGAGCUUAUAAGCUAAACAAAAUGACGCCGCCAACCAUGGACACUCUCAAUACACACAUGGAUACACAGAAGGAUAAAGAUACAAGGAAGAAGUGGCUAUACCAUCUUUGUUA